AUGCCAGCCGUGCUAAUCGAUUAAGAGCUUGCUCUUAUGAAGUUAGCGGCGGACGGGUGAGUAACACGUGGGUAACCUGCCCAUAAGACUGGGAUAACUCCGGGAAACCGGGGCUAAUACCGGAUAACAUUUUGAACCGCAUGGUUCGAAAUUGAAAGGCGGCUUCGGCUGUCACUUAUGGAUGGACCCGCGUCGCAUUAGCUAGUUGGUGAGGUAACGGCUCACCAAGGCAACGAUGCGUAGCCGACCUGAGAGGGUGAUCGGCCACACUGGGACUGAGACACGGCCCAGACUCCUACGGGAGGCAGCAGUAGGGAAUCUUCCGCAAUGGACGAAAGUCUGACGGAGCAACGCCGCGUGAGUGAUGAAGGCUUUCGGGUCGUAAAACUCUGUUGUUAGGGAAGAACAAGUGCUAGUUGAAUAAGCUGGCACCUUGACGGUACCUAACCAGAAAGCCACGGCUAACUACGUGCCAGCAGCCGCGGUAAUACGUAGGUGGCAAGCGUUAUCCGGAAUUAUUGGGCGUAAAGCGCGCGCAGGUGGUUUCUUAAGUCUGAUGUGAAAGCCCACGGCUCAACCGUGGAGGGUCAUUGGAAACUGGGAGACUUGAGUGCAGAAGAGGAAAGUGGAAUUCCAUGUGUAGCGGUGAAAUGCGUAGAGAUAUGGAGGAACACCAGUGGCGAAGGCGACUUUCUGGUCUGUAA
rnacentral:rRNA from 1 species